rnacentral:rRNA from 1 species
UACGGAGGGUGCAAGCGUUAAUCGGAAUUACUGGGCGUAAAGCGUGCGCAGGCGGUUUGUUAAGUCCGUUGUGAAAGCCCCGAGCUCAACUUGGGAAUUGCAGUGGAUACUGGCAGGCUGGAGUACGGUAGAGGAAGGUGGAAUUCCCGGUGUAGCAGUGAAAUGCGUAGAUAUCGGGAGGAACACCAGUGGCGAAGGCAGGUCUCUGGGCAUUAACUGACGCUGAGGAGCGAAAGCAUGGGGAGCGAACAGG